GAGUUUGAUCCUGGCUCAGGAUGAACGCUAGCGGCAGGCCUAAUACAUGCAAGUCGGACGGGAUUUGGGAGCUUGCUCCCGAUGAGAGUGGCGCACGGGUGCGUAACACGUAUGUAACCUACCUUUGUCAGGGGGAUAGCCUCUCGAAAGAGAGAUUAAGCCCGCAUAAAAUCACACUAUGGCAUCAUAGAAUGAUCAAAUAUUUAUAGGACAAAGAUGGGCAUGCGGAACAUUAGCUAGUUGGCGGGGUAA
rnacentral:rRNA from 1 species